UUUUGAUAAGCUGAUAAGGUGACAUUUGACGUAUUGUGUCGUUCGAACAACAAUUUUAUUAUGAUAAUAGGCGCAAAUUUAUGUAAAAGUACACAAAAUUAUGGUAAAUAGAAGUACAAGUACACACGUACGUAAAGCAACAAUAUUUUUGAAGUGGAAAAUCAUUAAUAAACAUUCUGUUUAUAUUUAAAGACAUACUAAAGUACGUAUUAUUAUAUACUUACGUUGUAAAAAGCUUACAAGUAGAAAUAUGGAGUAGUGGUACUAUAUACAAAAACCAAAAUCAGCACUUGAAACGCCUUGUUUCCAAAAUGGAUUGGUCAACAUGUUCACCAGACAUAAUCUUGAUGCUUUUUAAAUACCUGGAUAGUAAAUCUCUUGUGAAUUGUUUCUCCGUAUGCAAGUCUUGGAGAGAUCUAGUGGAUUAUCAUGCAGGGGUUAAAGGAAUAUGGCCAGACCUAGCACAAUUGGCAAUAUACAAUAAAGGUAUUGCUUUUAAACAGAGGUCUCUUCUUCCUUGGAGAGACCUAUACUUUAAUAAACAGCUAUGGAUAAAUGGGAAUGUUCAUAUUCAAUUUGAUACAAUUCUAGAAUUGAAUCAAUUUAAACACAUGCAUGUGUUUGAAGAUAACAUAACUGUCAUCAUAGAAUCUGGUAUGAAACAAUACAAAGUUGAUACAUUAGUAAAAACUUUGGAAGAAAAUGGUGUUCAAGACUAUCAAAAAACUCAUUGUGUAACUGGAAAACUGGUCAAUGGAAUUUUGACACUAAAUAUCGGACAUCGACAGAAACAUUUCUCUAUUAAUUGUUGUGCUUUCAUAAUAAAUAAUGAUCACUGUUUCAUUAUUGACUCGGGAAAAAUAUUCCGCGUUGUUAAAUGCUGUUGUUCUGUAAUACCAGUUGAUCAGCCAAUGAAAUUCAAAAAAACAGCCACACUGAGACUUUACAACACCCUUGGCACCAUCCAUAGUGCAAAUGUUGUUAAUGAUGUAAUUUAUGUUGUAAAUAGAGAAGGAAGAAUUGUAAAGUUGAAGGGUAUGGAUUUCUUAGGUGUAACGCUGGGCAAUAUAAGUUUCCCGCCUAUUUAUAACCCAUUAGUUGUGUGCAUGUUUCUACGGUUUAGUGUCAUUUAUAGUGAUUAAUAGAGAAUCGCUGUUUUACAAUAGAUGUGAAAAAUGCAUUAAUAUUGAUAAAAAUUAGCACAGAUAAUGUAAUGCAUGACACAUUAAUGCGGAGCUACGAUCCUUAUGGAUCGAUUUGUAGCAUUAAUAUUUAUUUUGAUGAUGUUUACGUUUUGAAACGUAAUGGCAGUAUAAUACGAGCCGACUCUUGUUACAUGGUUACAAUUAUUGGCAAAAUAGAUUCACCGCAUUUUUAUAAUAAUCCGUCAGUAAUGUGUUUGUUUCUAAAGCACAGUGUUAUUUAUAGUGUUCGCAGUGAGGAUGGAUCGAAAUCAAUGAAAGCGACAAAAAUUACAGACACGGAGGAGAUAGUUGUGGAAUGUUCUGGACUAAGUUGUGCUACACCGCACAGUGACUUACUGUUUUUAGGAUAUGAAGAUGGGGAGGUCCGAGGCUAUUUACCAAAGAGAAUGUUGCAAACAAACGAGCCACUUUUUACAUUUAAUAUCAAGGAUAUUGUUAAGUGUAAUCUUGUGGAUGCCGCUGUCAAGGCGAUAGAGGUUUAUGAAGCAAAUGAAUCUCAUUAUUUGUUCAUAGCAACGAAAAACGAAUUAAUAAAAGUUGUAGUUACUCACAACUAAAAAAAAGUUGAUUUACUCCAGUAUUUUUAUUUGCAAGAAUUUAUAAACAGAAUGAAAGUGAUAUUUGUCGUUGAAAUCGUUACGACUUGCCAUAUAAUUGCAUUUUUUUAUUAUUAUUGAUUAAGAAAAAAAGUGAUUUUAAAACCCAAAAAGGAAUUUUUACGCCUAUUUUGUUCAAGACG